GUUAUAACCGCCGAUUGAAUUUCCGUCUGACUUAAUAAUAAAGUGAAAACGCUUUGCACAAACUGGAUUACUGCUCCAACCAACGACUCGGCACUGGUCGCAAUAAACGGAUCUAGAUCUAGCGACGUCUUCUUCGAUAACAUCGAGGCAGACGAUUGCCCGAGAAGAGUCCUCGUCGCCGACGUCGUUGGUGAGGUCGCCGACGCGGAAGAGGAUCUGCCACGUCAACGGCGACGUCUUCUUCGAUUACAUCGAGGCAGACGAUUGCCGGAGAAGAGUCCUCGUCGCCGACGUCAUUGGUGAGGUCGCCAACGCGGAAGAGGAUAUGCCACGUCAGCAGGUGAGGAAACAACGACGAAGGCGGCGGUAAGAGCGCGUGCUUCGACAAAAACGCCUUUACCGUCGUCCUGAACGGUUCGUUAAUACCACCGGUUAUACUGCCGACGUCGGG
rnacentral:lncRNA from 1 species